rnacentral:rRNA from 1 species
GACGAACGCUGGCGGCGUGCUUAACACAUGCAAGUCGAACGGAAAGGCCCUGCUUUUGUGGGGUGCUCGAGUGGCGAACGGGUGAGUAACACGUGAGUAACCUGCCCUUGACUUUGGGAUAACUUCAGGAAACUGGGGCUAAUACCGGAUAGGAGCUCCUGCUGCAUGGGGGGGGUUGGAAAGUUUCGGCGGUGGGGGAUGGAUUCGCGGCUUAUCAGCUUGUUGGUGGGGGAGUGGCUUACCAAGGCUUUGAUGGGUAGCCGGCCUGAGAGGGUGACCGGCCACAUUGGGACUGAGAUACGGCCCAGACUCCUACGGGAGGCAGCAGUGGGGAAUAUUGCACAAUGGGCGGAAGCCUGAUGCAGCAACGCCGCGUGCGGGAUGACGGCCUUCGGGUUGUAAACCGCUUUCGCCUGUGACGAAGCGUGAGUGACGGUAAUGGGUAAAGAAGCACCGGCUAACUACGUG